GUCAGCUCCACUCCCAGACUGUUUCGUGAUCGGAGGCUUCCCUGGGGAUUCUGCUCCUUUGAUGGAUGAUUGACGGGACGAUAGAGAGAGAGAGAGAGAGAUCCUCAGGCUGCCGAUUUAUUGACAGAGGGAGACAGGGAAAUUCAAACUGCUGCUUAACACAGAGAGAGACACAGAGAGAGAGACUCGCUGCAGGUUCGAUUAAACUCCUCGUCUUAUAUGACCACAAACUGUCACCUCCUGACCUAGCAUUCCACCCCCACCCCCUCAAACAUUGUGAACAAUUCAGAUCGAGGGAGGAAGAAAGCCUUUAUCGCUCUCAGCACAGGGUAAAAACCUCAGCGCUAACAAACCACUUACUCUUCCUUUGACACUCUCAAGACAAGCGCAACGGGAUGACCCCCGACUCACGAGGAUUCCUGCAAAUGGAAGAAUGAUUUUUAAACUCCUUGGAUCCCAGAGCAACAACUCCCGGCAGAAUGAUUCCCUGUGGAACACAGUUUUGCAGCGCAAGCAGCUGGAUAUCUUCUAAAGCUCGUACUGCCUCUGCAGUUCUUUUUGUUAUUCUUGUGACUGUACAUCAAGGAACAUGCACUACCCUCAAAGAUCAAAAAGCAGUUUUCCAGCUUAAUGCACCUGAUGAAUACGGGACCCUUUCACCAGGAACAAACAUCCCUUCGCUUGGCAAUUUUACUCUCUGCAUUGACAUCAGGCUAAGACAGAAUAAUAUAAAUGGAAUGACAGCAUUUACCUACAACACAGACACCAAACGUAUUCAUUCCAGGUCCCUUCAUGAACUCGGCAUCAUGGUGAUAAACAAAAGACUGAUAAUCUGGUUGUUUCAUAGACAAAUUAAUGUAGGGGAAAUUAUUUCCUUAGCUAACUGGCACUCCUUGUGUUUAACAUGGAAUGGGCAAACUCGUGAAACACAUGUCUAUAUGAAUAAAACAAAUGUGCUUUCAAAAACACUGAACAAAAAUUACAGACUUGGCCAAAAUGGUAGCCUGGUGCUUGGUCGAAAGCACAGUCGAGGGCCAGACCGGUUGAAGGUGGACCCUGAGACAUUUGUUGGAGACUUGUAUUUAUUCAGAUUGUGGGAUCAUGCAAAAGAACAACAGUCAAUAUCUCAGCUGAACUGCGAAGAUGGGAAUGUCAUCACCUGGGACAGCCAACAAUGGGACUUCAUAGGAUCAAUCUUGGAAUAUGAUUAUUCACUGCCUUGCUGUUUAUCUCAGCAGCAAAAAGUUUUUGCAAAAAAUGAAGAAGAUGGAAGUGAAGAUGGGGAACGUGAGGACAAAGAAAACAACGAUGAAAACAGCAAUGAAGGAGAAGCACCACCAAGCACUGUAGCCUUCCUAGGCAGCACUGCUUUCACUGUUACGGCAUCUUCUCUAUCAAGCACAACAGGGAAUUCCUUUAUCAAUAUGACCUCUUCACCUGUGACAGCAAACAGAACUAUUAUUACUGAGACACCAUCUGCAGAGAACACAACAGCAAACAGAGCUACUGUUAAUGUGACGCCACCUGCAGAGAACACAACAGUGAACAGCGCCGGUGUUAAUGUGACACUUUUUCCACAGAUCACAACAGGCACUACUUUCUUGAAUGUUACAGCAUCUUCUCAAUCAAACACAACAGGCACUACUUUUUUCAAUGUUACAACAUCUACUCCAACAAACGCACCAGUGAGCAGCGCUGGUGUUAAUGUGACACCUUCUCCACAGAUCACAACAGGCACUACUUUCUUCAAUGUUACAGCAUCUUCUCCAUCAAACACAACAGCGAACAUUAUUAAUGGGACAUCCACUCCACAGAGCACAACAGGGAAAUCCCUUACCACUAUCGCCACCUCACCUGUGACAGCAAACAGCAGUAUUAUUAAUGUGACAUCACCUACACAGCACACAACAGGGAAUUCCCUUACUACUAUCGCCACCUCACCUGUGACAGUGAAUAGCACUUCUGUUUACGUGAGACACCCUCCACAGCACACUACAGCUACCAGCAGUAUUAUUAAUGUGACAUCACCUACACAGCACACAACAGUGAACAGCACUGCUGUUAAUGUGACACAUUCACCACCGCAGACAACAGGAAACAGCAGCAUUGUGAAUGGGUCAUCGUCCACAGAGCACACGACAGGGAAUUCCCUUACCAAUAUCGCCACCUCACCUGUGACAGCGAACAGCACUAUUGCUAAUGGGACAUCCAGUCCACAGAACACAACAGAAUAUCUAACAAAGACCAAUGCUACAGAGUUGAAUGAAACUGCCGUUGUUUUAAUUGUGAGCCAACUGGAGGAUAUUUUGCAAAUGGAGAGUAUAAGCGAGGAGCUUGCAAAAAUGCUCAUUAACAGGAUAAGCAUCCUCAUCAAUGUCUCCCCUGCUGCUGUUGCUUCAUCUUCCAGUAGGAUAAUAAAAAUUGUGGACAAAAUUGGUGAGAAGUUGAAUUUCACAACCGUCUCGGUAAACAUCACGGCCCCUUCUUUGGCUCUGGCUGUGGCCAAAAUCAAUGCCACUGGCUUCGGUGGGGCAGAUUUCAGCAUCAGCAACGUUACCGAUUUGCAGGUGUCCCUGGAUGAAAGAUCUCCUCAGGCCAGUUUUGCAGCUAUUGAACUUCCACCUUCCCUAUUGACCAAUCUUGCAUCAGAGGAGAGGGAUAAUGCUUCAAGAAUUCAGUUCUCUUUCUAUGGAAAAUCGACACUUUUCCAGGAUCCCAGCCUUGGGGAUACUUCUUCAUUGAACAGUUACAUUAUUGCAUCAAGCGUUACAAACCUCAACAUCAAUGACUUGGUGGAUCCAGUUCAAAUCACAUUCAAGAACAUUCAGGCCAGUCAGAAUAACUCAGAAGUAAAAUGUGUAUUCUGGGAUUUCACGAAAAACAAUGGCAAUGGUGGAUGGAAUUCGAGUGGUUGUAUAACAGUGCAGAAUCAAUCCAAUGAGACUGUAUGUAAAUGUAACCACCUGACACACUUUGGUGUCUUAUUGAUUAUUUCCAGAGAUUUGGCGAUUGAUCCAAUCCAGUACCGAAUCCUCAGUUUCAUUACGUACAUAGGCUGUGGCAUUUCUUCGAUUUGCUUGGCUAUGACUUUGGUGACAUACCUGAUUUUUGAAAAACUCCGCAAAGACUACCCCUCAAAGAUUCUAAUAAACCUUUGCACAGCCCUGCUGCUCCUCAAUAUGGUGUUCCUCAUUGAUUCUUGGAUUUCUGCUUAUGGUAUCGAAGGUCUGUGUAUCGCUGUGGCUGCCUUGCUCCAUUAUUUCCUAUUGGUUUCCUUCACCUGGAUGAGCCUCGAGGCCCUCCACAUGUACCUGGCUCUGGUUAAGGUCUUCAACACUUAUGUGCACAGAUACAUAUUGAAGUUCUGCAUUCUUGGUUGGGGCGUUCCUAUUGUGGUGGUAGCCAUUAUACUUUGCACUGAUACAAAAAACUAUGGAUUUGGAGAAUAUGGAAAACAGACCAAUAGCAGUAUGGACACAUUCUGCUGGAUCAACAAUGACACAGUGUUUUAUGUUUCUGCGGUUGGCUAUUUCUGUAUUAUGUUCCUCGUGAACCUCAGUAUGUUCAUUGUGGUCCUGAUUCAACUGUGCCAACUGAAAAGCAAGAAGCUGCAUCGCAAUGCACAGAGGAGCGUGUUACGAGACCUGAGAAGUGUGGCCGGCCUCACCUUCUUACUAGGAAUCACCUGGGGAUUUGCCUUCUUUGCAUGGGGCCCAGUUAACCUUGCGUUUAUCUACCUCUUUGCCAUCUUCAAUACUCUACAAGGAACCUUUAUCUUCAUUUUUCACUGUGCAGCCAAAGAAAAUGUUCAGAAACAGUGGAGGAGGUAUCUAUGCUGUGGCAAGUUGAGGCUGGCUGAAAAUUCAGACUGGAGCAGAACAGCAACAAAUAACACAAAGAAGCUACAGCCUCUGGUCCAAGCCAUCUCUCUGUCAUCAACUUCAAAUAACUCCUUACAGUCCACCUCCUCCCUUUAUCCAGUCCGGGACUACGCCUGUCACCCCAUUGUGAAUGGUGCUAAGCUUUAAAGUUGCAACCUCACACCCCUCAAGCAUAGAGGGAGUGAAAGGGAGGGAGGUUAGACUGAUGCAACAGCCAACAACUUCAAUAUGGAUUGGGAGUUUUUAUUGUAAGACUGACAACACAAACCCUGGGGUGUUCACCCAGUAUCUUCUAAAUGGAAAACAAUGGAACUUGAAGUGAGAGCUGGACUGCAUUAUUAAACCCUCCUCCUGGACUGCAUUAUAAAGGACAACCAUUCAAUGAGUUGGUAUUCAACCACCCUGUCUGAAAAUGGAAACUAAGCAAUAAUUUGCUUUCUUAAGUUUUUGAACUUCAGGAGUUUUUUGGAGACUACAGAUAAUACAACCGCAUCUAUAUAUAACAGAAUUAAGGCUAAUAGCAUAUGCAAUCCUAAUAAAUAUUAUUUGGAGCCUUAAGAUCUGUUCUUAAUUUCCAAAGAAAAUUAUGAAGGAAAGAUUUGAUUGCGUUAAGUUAUGGUUAUAAAAUGUUUCUAGGUGAUGACUGUGAGUGUGAACAUUAUGUGGAUGUCAAGGUACCAUUUUAAGCACAGCUGAAUGCAACUUGUAUCAAUUGUAAUGAAAAUUUCAGCUAAAAAGGGCAAAGCUUUCAGUAAUUUUCUUAUGACUGUCAAUUUUAUUGCUAAAAGGCAACCCUUCCUGUUUUAUCAUAGGGAUUAUUUUACUGAAAAAUAACACCUUAUAAACUCACUAUUCCUGAUCCUUGUAACUGCUGAAAUUUGACACAAUUGCAGAUGAAUUGCACAAGGCUUUAAAUAUAUGUGAAAUGGCUUACAUUAUCAUGUGAUAUUAAAUUUAUAGUAUUGCCUGAUAUUUAAUUUUACCAAUUUGAGUUGAAUGAAGAAUUUUGUCUGGCAUCUGUGCUUACUGACAGCAAAUCAGAGCCUAACUAAUUAUAUCUAAUAGGAGUGCUUAAUUUCAGUCAUUUAUGGUAGAAUUGAUGGUCUCUGUUACCUCCACAUGCAUUCCUAUACACAGGUGGCACCCAGUAUUGGGUUCCUUCAACACAACCUUGAGCAAAGUCCAUCAAUGGAGAUAAAACUUGAGAAGGAAAACAUGAUGUAAUGUUUUUUAGUAGAAAGUUGUCCACAUACGUUUCUAUGCACAGGAUUAUUUGAAAUGUAUGGCGUUGUGUAUCUAGGCUCCCAUAUCUAACAUGUGAAAGUAUGAGUGACAGUGUCACUCAGUCCAUUCUGAAACUUUUACUUCAGUUACAAUUUUUUCACACAAUGGUCAAAUCAUACAGCGCAGAAUAAGGCCACAGUGCCUGUGCAAUUAAGUACAGUACUUUCAAUAUCAUUCUGCUCAUUAUCCCCUCUCUUAUAAUUCUAUGGGCACAAUGCAUAAAAUGCAUUGUUGUUUUGUGUGUUUAUUAUUAUUCUAUGAGCAUAUAGGGUUAUCUUGGUUUAUUAUCCAUAUACAUGAAGAAAUGCGAGACAUAUUUACAAGCUUGGAGGCUGAAUUAAAUGGAGUAAGAUUUUAUAUAACCUGCAUGGUAAGACAGCACUUUAAAAAUGUGCUACUUGCUAUGUAUAAGAGUUUAAUCCUUGCAAGCUACAUGUGCAAUGUAUGCUAAGCUUUCACUAGCAUGGGCAGCCAACCUUCCGUGUACCAUAGAUUGAUCCGCAUCCUUCCUUGCUCACUGCUUUAAGUGUACAACAAUCCACAUUCUUAUCCAAUGAACCACCAGCAAAACUUUCAUUUUACACUUUUAUUAUUUAGUUUCUGAUUACAUUACAAUAUCACUUUUGAUUCUAUUAUUAUAGAAUGGCACACAAAAUGCCAUCCCAGCUAUAAUUGCAAAGAAUACAGUCCAAGCUACGUAAAUAAAAACCUACAGUGAUUUAUUUUCUGCUGCUCUAAGCUUCACAUUCCCUUCAUUCGAACAAGAUAACCACUGCUGAUUUUAUAAACAGUGUGCUGCCAGCUCAGUUUAAAGGCUGAUACAGCUCAUUAGCCUCUUUUUCUAGUUGUCGGCGUUGCACCUUCUCAAGUUGUGUAAUAUGCCACGUCAGGUUCUCACUUCCCUGAAUACUGAGAGUCUGAAGAGACAGAAAAAUCAAUACUUCAGCCUCAGUCAGGAUUAAUGUUAUCCUCCUGUUGCUUAUCACUGUGAGUUCUUAUGCAUGUUGAAACAAAACAACUUGCAUUUAUAUAGCGCCUUUCAUGACUUCAGUAUGUCUCAAAUCAUUUUGCAGCCAAUGAAGUACUUUUUGAAAUGUAGUCACAGCCACAAUGUGGGGAAGCAUGGCAGCCAACUUUUACCCACAAACAGCUUCGAGAUGUUGACCAAAUCGUGUUUCCUCCACAAUCAAUGAAGAUUUAUUUUUUGAUUAAGCUGAGACACAUUACAAAGUUUCUUGUUUGGAAGUACAGAAAGGCUGCAUUGUAUUGAUGUUUUUUUUUAGUGAACUAGAACAGGUACUUUUUGAUUUAGCUCCCCCAUUCUUUAAGUGCUCUGUUUAGAAACACUGGUAAAAGUUGAUUGGGAAGGAAGCAACAUGAUAGAAUCUACCUGCCCUCACAAGGUCCACAUAAUGUCACAGAAAAUAUCCAGACAAGGAUUUACAAAUUUCAGCAAAUACAGCUAUUAAUGUUAGAGUACAUCUUAACUCUUGCUUGAUCUUGAUAUAGUUUUUUUUAUCCAUAGUUAUAUAUAAGAAUAAUAUUUUUCCACUAUUCUAUUAUAAAUUAACUGUAUCUAUUGCAGGCAGUAGGUACUUUUUAAUAAUUGUUUAUGUUGCUGUUAGACCUUUAGUGUGUUGGGAACCUUGUUUAUAUGAUAUGAGAUAAUUAAGAAUGCAUUUAUUAAAGAGAAGGACUGCAACGUUUUUAAGUUGAUUCAGUUCAAAGGAACAGUUUUCAUUGCUUUCAUCUGUUCCAGUCUGAAUGCAGCACAUUUAUUGGAUUUUGUAUUUUUCAUUUGUACUUUCUAGAACAUUUAAAAAUGCUGAGCAGCUAAUUUGAGUGGCAAUGUGAUAAGACAUGUUUGUUCCUUCGUAUAUAAACCUGGCAGAAUGUUUUAGAGCUACAAGUCAACCAUGCAGAGCCUGACUACUGCCAUGUUGGAUGAGUUCAAGGUCUUACAUGCAUCCAUAGAUUGGUAUGAAUUUGUAUCCACAAUCAAAUACAGGGAGCUCCCCAUUUCAAGGCCACUUGAAUCGGUCCUUGUUCUAGUCCUACUCAGGCUCCCCCCCACACCCCCGCACAACUCUUUCUCCGGUACAUUGAUGACUGUUUCGGUGCCGCUUCAUGCUCUCGUCUGGACCUGAAAUGAUUUAUUAAUUUUGCUUCCAAUUUCCACCCCUCCAUCACUUUCACGUGGUCUAUCCCUGACAUUUCCUUUCCCCUCCUUGACCUCUCUGCCUCAAUUUCUGGUGAUAGACUGUCCACCAAUAUCCAUUACAAGCCUACCGACUCCCACAGCUACCUCGACUACAGCUCCUCACACCCGGCU